UGGGGAAUAUUGGACAAUGGGCGCAAGCCUGAUCCAGCCAUGCCGCGUGUGUGAAGAAGGCCUUCGGGUUGUAAAGCACUUUUGUCCGGAAAGAAAUCCUGUCGGCUAAUACCCGGCGGGGAUGACGGUACCGGAAGAAUAAGCACCGGCUAACUUCGUGCCAGCAGCCGCGGUAAUACGAAGGGUGCAAGCGUUACUCGGAAUUACUGGGCGUAAAGCGUGCGUAGGUGGUUUGUUAAGUCUGAUGUGAAAGCCCUGGGCUCAACCUGGGAACUGCAUUGGAUACUGGCUUACUAGAGUGCGGUAGAGGGUGGCGGAAUUCCCGGUGUAGCAGUGAAAUGCGUAGAUAUCGGGAGGAACAUCCGUGGCGAAGGCGGCCACCUGGACCAGCACUGACACUGAGGCACGAAAGCGUGGGGAGCAAACAGGAUUAGAUACCCUGGUAGUCCACGCCCUAAACGAUGCGAACUGGAUGUUGGGAGCAACUAGGCUCUCAGUAUCGAAGCUAACGCGUUAAGUUCGCCGCCUGGGAAGUACGGUCGCAAGACUGAAACUCAAAGGAAUUGACGGGGUCAUAGCUGUUUCCU
rnacentral:rRNA from 1 species